UGGGGCAGCCUGUCUGGGAGCAGAAAUCCCAUAGACGGCAUCCCUGGGCCCUUCCGUGCUGCAGCAGGAACCAGUGCUCGGAGGAUGUCCCUGAACCAUGGGCACCAGGGCAGAGUCCUGAAAGUAACACCUUCAUGAAAUUCAAUAAGAAAAAUCUGGGCAGCCUUCGUGAAAUCUGAUUUAAUGAUCUAUUCUCAUCAUUAGAAGGGGGACUCCGGUUUGGGGCAAGGCUUGGGGGAGUUACUUUUCAGGAUUAAUUAAAUAAGCCAUGUAUAUUUCUCCAUGGAGACCUGCCCUGUCUAUCUGCAGGCCAGUUAAUCAGGGAAUUGUCAGGACCCCACCCCGGGUCAGCUCCCCACCCCGCUUUCCCUUGUUCCCAUCCCCUCCUCCAAACUGCGGUCACCUACCCAGGCCAGGCUGGCGCUGGGGGACAGGGGAGCAGGUCCACACUGUGGCUUUGUGAGAACACAGGCGGCAGGCGCCCCUUUGCAUCCACAUUUCUCUCCCCGCCCCUCCUCAUGCCCUGCCUUUGAUGGUGAAAUGGAACUAGCUGAAACUCGACUUCCUUCUGUGAAAACAGUAAAAAGGCACAGGCUAACAAGAAUAUGUGACCGUCACAGCGCAGCUGGGCUGACAGGCCUUCAAGUGGCUGGGAGUUCUUGUAAGGGAGGAUAAUUACAUUUUCGUUGUGUUAAAAAAGGAGGAAAUGGGGAAUACGCCCACCAUCACUGCUUUGAAUCUCCUCAAAUUUCAUUUCCUUCUGAAACUGUUGGGAGUCCCAGGCAGGCCUGUGGCUGGACUCAUGACACCCCCGUGGGUGGGUGGGUGAGAAGGUGCUCGGGGCCCUUCAGUGUGGGUGAACAAAACCCCCAGAGCCCCCGCCAGCUUCUGUGCAGGGCUCAGACCCACAGCUGCUCACGAGGUGCUGAGCCUGGGGCGCAUCACGGAAUGCUUCCCCUGUGAAGGUGUCAUUGGCGCGGAAGAUGAACCUCAUUGAAGAGCGUGUUUCCAGCUCAGCAGCACCUGGGAUUUGUGCAGCCCGGGCCAGGGCGGAAGUGCGUUGAGGGGCAUCCCGGCGUGAGUUUCGAUUUGGGGACCCGAGGAACCCGUGGAAGGCGAGGAGAUUCCGUGUCGGUGUCAGUCCUGGGACCUCCCUGGGCAGAGGCUGGCGUGUUCCCACGCUCCCUCCGUGGGCAGAAACAAAGGCUGGGAUUUCCCUAACAUUUAGAAACGGUUGAACAGUUGGGAGCAUGCAUGUGAACUCCUGUGUUGAAGCUGCUCUGCAUUCAUUUAGGACUCUUAUCUUCAAGUCACCUUCUGGAGGACCUGGGCAUGUGUUUGGAAACGUCCCUCUGGAACCGCGUGGGAAUCCUUAGGGUUCAGCCGCGUAGGUGCUAGGGAGUCUGGACCAAAUAGCUCCCACCGGACUGGGUCCACUCUUCCUUGCUGAGGGACGUCUGGAGAAAGGAGGAGCCUGCAUGGGGCGGGAGGCGGGGUCCUGGCUGGGCCUGGGGUCCUGCUGCCUCAGGGUCAGGACCCUGGGAACCCCACCCCCACCCACCGUGUCCUGCUCUGACUUUGCUCUUGGUGGCGGCAACGGGGACCGGGGGUCUCUCCGUGGCUCUGCCAGGCUGGGAAAUGCCUGCUCCACGUCUAGCUUCCUGCUACGCCCUCCCCAUCUUGGCCGUCAGCACCGCUCCAAGACCCAAAUACUGGGGCUGUGGGUGGAGAACCUGGCUGGAGGCAGUCGGGGCUCUGCUGCUCAGCAACUUAAGGGGACUGAGUUGGCCUGGGGUUGGUUGCACAUUCACUACGGCUGCACAUUCCCAUUCUCUGCUUCCAGGGCAAGGAGAGGACCGUGCAUCCUCAGUGACCGUGGUGCCUCACCUUGCUUUAGAGAAGCCUGUCCUUGCCCCCAAGCUGCUCUCCAUGGAGUUCUGUUUGCGCACAAGAGGUCCCUGUGAAGGAGUGUCCAUCGGGUCUGGACGUGCACCUGACCUCGCUGACUGAGAACGUGGUGACUAAGGAGACUGAGGCAAGGAGUGGACGGAGGGGACGGGAGAGCUGAGAAGUCAGACAGGAGCUGGGAGGCAACUCAGAGGCCAGGAAGGAAGGUGGCGGCUCUGUCCCUGGGAUGGAGUGGGGUGGGUGGUGCUGGCAGAGCCCAGGGCUGGGGUCUCUGGGGAAGCUGGACCCACAGCAGCCUCGGUGUGCAGGAAUGACGUACACAGCAGGCCGGAGGCUGCCUGAUGCUCACACGUGUUCACGGAGACCUGUGUGCAGCAAUGACCCCCAGCCAGCAUCCGGCGGCUGCCUGAUUCUCACAUGUGUUCACAGAGGCCCAUGUGCAGCCAUGAUCCCCAGCCA